rnacentral:rRNA from 1 species
UACGUAGGUGACAAGCGUUGUCCGGAUUUACUGGGCGUAAAGAGCGCGCAGGCGGUCGAUCAAGUCGAGUGUGAAAGCCCCCCGGCUCAACUGGGGAGGGUCAUUCGAUACUGAUCGACUCGAAGGCAGGAGAGGGUAGUGGAAUUCCCGGUGUAGCGGUGGAAUGCGUAGAGAUCGGGAAGAACACCAGUGGCGAAGGCGGCGCUCUGGGCUGCACCUGACGCUGAGAUGCGAAAGUGUGGGGAGCAAACGGG